rnacentral:rRNA from 1 species
UACGUAGGUCCCGAGCGUUGUCCGGAUUUAUUGGGCGUAAAGCGAGCGCAGGUGGUUUAUUAAGUCUGGUGUAAAAGGCAGUGGCUCAACCAUUGUAUGCAUUGGAAACUGGUAGACUUGAGUGCAGGAGAAGAGAGUGGAAUUCCAUGUGUAGCGGUGAAAUGCGUAGAUAUAUGGAGGAACACCGGUGGCGAAAGCGGCUCUCUGGCCUGUAACUGACACUGAGGCUCGAAGGCGUGGGGAGCAAACAGG